rnacentral:SRP_RNA from 1 species
GCCAGGCGUGGUGGCGCAUGCCUGUAAUCCCGGCUACUCGGGAGGCUGAGGCAGGAGAAUUGCUUGAACCUGGGAGGCGGAGGUUGUGGUGAGCUGAGAUCACACCACUGCACUCCAGCCUGGGUAACAGAGCGAGACUCUGCCUCAA